UACGGAGGGUGCAAGCGUUAUCCGGAUUCACUGGGUUUAAAGGGUGCGUAGGUGGGCAGGUAAGUCAGUGGUGAAAUCUCCGGGCUUAACCCGGAAACUGCCAUUGAUACUAUUUGUCUUGAAUACCGUGGAGGUCAGCGGAAUAUGUCAUGUAGCGGUGAAAUGCUUAGAUAUGACAUAGAGCACCAAUUGCGAAGGCAGCUUACUACGGAUUGAUUGACACUGAGGCACGAAAGCGUGGGGAUCAAACAGG
rnacentral:rRNA from 1 species